AUUGAACGCUGGCGGCAUGCUUUACACAUGCGAGUCGAACGGUAACAGGGUGCUUGCACCGCUGACGAGUGGCGAACGGGUGAGUAAUGCGUCGGAACGUGCCGAGUAGUGGGGGAUAACGCAGCGAAAGUUGUGCUAAUACCGCAUACGUACUGAGGUAGAAAGUGGGGGACCUUCGGGCCUUCCGCUAUUCGAGCGGCCGAAGUCUGAUUAGCUAGUAGGUGAGGUUAAGGCUCACCUAGGCGACGAUAAGUAGCGGGUCUGAGAGGAUGAUCCGCCACACUGGGACUGAGACACGGCCCAGACUCCUACGGGAGGCAGCAGUGGGGAAUUUUGGACAAUGGGCGAAAGCCUGAUCCAGCCAUGCCGCGUGUCUGAAGAAGGCCUUCGGGUUGUAAAGGACUUUUGUCAGGGAGGAAAUCCCUAGUGCUAAUAACACUGGGGGAUGACAGUACCUGAAGAAUAAGCACCGGCUAACUACGUGCCAGCCGCCGCAGUAA
rnacentral:rRNA from 1 species